GGUCUCCGUCUCCUACCAUAGCACAACACGGUGCCCAGCCGUACCAGUCAGAUCGUUGCCCCGAGCGUCCGCCAUGGACCUCCUCCCGUUGGUGCCUCCCCAUAGGAGGAGGACCUCGGGCCGGAGAUGGGGAUUGAGGAGGAGGAGAAGGGGGACGGAUAUAUAGGUGGUCAGGGGGCGACGAGGUCAAGAGGGAUGGCAGCGCGACCAAGACGUGCUCAGCGGCAAUGGGGAGGCCGUCCCGGUGGAUGCUGUAGCGGGCGCACCGCUGGACCCGGGGCACCGCCUCCUUCCCCAUGGGAAGGUCGCCGUGGGUGCUCCCUUGCUUUAGAUCCCGGUGGGAGGAGUGGGGCUGAUGCCUGAUAGGAAGGAGUGCCGGGAUGUAGGUGGUCCUGGCCGCCUGAUGUUUCCUUGACAGCAAGGACGACCAAGGCCGGGAUUGUACUCUGCCCCUGCCCCCCUACCAUGGUCCGGCGCUGCAUAUUGCCAUUGGCGCUUCUUUGCCGCCGGCUUCCUGCAAGCGUGGUGGUGUCGUUGCCGAUGGCGACACUGCUGAAGCGCUGCUACCAGAGGGUCAGUAUACCGUGGUUUUCCUCCAUGCAGUCAUUGCCUCGCUCAUAGGGCCACAAAAGAGUGUACCAUCGGCCUUCCAGGGAAGCUCCUUCCAUUGGCCAGCUAUUUUGAGUUCCCUACUCAUUGGACUAUCAUGCACCUGAAUCUUGGAACAAACUGGAUUCUAUCUACGAUGGAUUAAUUCCAGCAAGGUUUUGUUGCUUGGACCGGAAGCUGUCUACCAUCUAAACGGGCAUUGUGCAAAGAACUCAAGCUACCAUGUUUAUGCUUCUCAGCGUAGCGGUACCGGUGCGGGAUACAGGGAACGUGAGAAGAUGCAGCAGGGUGAGUCCUUGCUGCCAACCAGGGUUACUCUCUCCACAGAGGGUGUCGUCCUAGGCCCUAGCCAAGAUUCAUGAUGUUUGCCUCCAUGUCUUUCCUUACAGGGGAGUUUCUAAUUCUAUCGUUAUCAUUUACUUAUCUUCUAUACAUGCAUGUAUGAUGAUAAGCUCUUGAUAUGUAGUUGCUAUGUUAGCCAUACUCAAUCAUAUUAUAUUGGUAAAAUAAUGCUCAUUGAACAGAUUUUUUUAUUUGUAGAAGAAUUGGUCAAAACCGCCCUGAUCUCCAUUGAGAAUCAUCGUUGAUAUGUAGUUGCUAUGUUAGCCAUACUCAAUCAUAUUAUAUUAGUAAAAUAAUGCUCAUUGAACAGAUUUUUUAUUUGUAGAAGAAUUAGUCAAAACCACCCUGAUCUCCAUUGAGAAUCAUCGAAGCAGUGAGAAUUCACAUUUCUUAAAUAGGUUCUUAAAUAGCUCGCAAUUUCCUCCGAAUCUUCAAACAAAAUAAAUGAUUGGUCUUCAAAAAGAGGGAACGACCUUUUUGACAACUGGGAGAUCCCAUUACUUACUUGAUUACAAUUCAUUUUUUCCUAUUAAUUUGUUAUUAGGAUUGAUGUUUCUGAUGAAGUGUCACCUGUAAUAUGCAUGCUAUUUCCUAGGAAAAGUAGCACAGAGUCACAUGUAUAUUAGUGUUGUUCUCUACUGUCACUUGAUGCUCUUGCAGCAGCUUACCAUGCCUAUGUCAAUGUGUGCUUUGCUGACGAGUUACUCUCUAUCUCUACAAUUUCUUUUAAUACGAUCCUAAGUAUGCUCAGCGGUAAACGUUCUGGUGGGAUACUUUUUCCGCAUUACUACAAAUUGGGUUUGUUCAUUUAAGAGUGGAGUCACUCUUGAAUUGCUGACUGAUAUCCUGGUGACUGCCUUUUUCCUGUUGAGCAUACUGCAUAUUAGUUCACCUCCUCUUCUGAGUUCCCUUUUCCCUUUGAGCAUGCUGCAAUAUUGGUUCUCUUUCGGCUGCAUAGACUCAUAUUUUCUGGCCAUAAUUCCUCCGGGUGUAACAUAGGAUGGUAUUAGUCUUAUCCUUUUAUGAAGAUAGUGACUUAUGUUGCCAUACAUAUCUGUAUGUAGGUUUUUGGUAUCACACACUCCCAUUCUGUUCCUUUUAGUAUUCCUGAUAGGCCGCUUCCUUUGUUAGAAUUUUUUUCUGUUUAUAGUAUGACUUUUACAUUUGGCUCAUAUGUUUUUACGCAUUUCUCAGGUUAGAUGGUGUGAAGUUCUUCUACGUACUUUAUGGGACUAAGAAAUAGUUCAGUUGUACCGUCGUCGAUUCUGGGUAUGAACUGUAUGAACAUGCUGAUGCAGUCCCAGAUGCUGUGUUUCUACCUAGGAACAGGACUAUAGUCAGGGAGCUAAUUUCAGAUGUCUGCGGAUGAAAGUAUUCAGGAAGCAAAACUCUAGGUGUCUACGGAUGCCAGCAGCAAGUGUCCCAUGCUUGAGCUACCAUCCGCAGUUUAAGUAGUAUAGAUCCUUGCUGCUACAUUGUGUAUGUUCACUAUUCCUGCCUUCUUCUACAUCGUGCUAUGGACGAUUGUAUGAUUUGUGUACUUUUUUGUGUAGAUGUAAUGAGUGUGCUGGAAGCUAUUCUGUAGUUCAACCAGUCUUUGCGUCACUCUUGACCGUUAUAACCAAACCAUUUAGUAAAAGGUCAUAUUUUCUA